AGGAGGCUUAACUUUUCUGGCAUUUGUGAAACUAGUUGGGUGAACCUUGAAAGUUCUCAGAGCAGGGGAAAGGUUGGGGGAACCUCUGGCAUGCUGGAGGGACCCAGAUUCUGGGAGUUUCUCUUUGUAUGAGUUCUGGGAGUUUCCAUUGGGCUGUGUAUCUGCCUUCACCCUGUGAUUCAGGGUGCCACUAAGUAAGGCUGUCUCUAGGACAGGGCUCUGUUCUAGAGCAGGAAAUUUGGAGGAUGUAAAAAAAUUAGUGUGUACACGCUUUCAGCAGAGUCUAAGGAGGUGUAGAGUAGAUAUAGAUGUAGAGUGCUGAGUAGAUUUGGAGGGUGGCUAAGGAAGGUAGCUAAGAGAGAGAUUCCAAGAGGUAAUGGGGACAAUGGAGUAGAUGAUAUUUAAAUUCCCUCUCAGUUCCACAAAGAAUGACCAACUCAGACUAGCCUCUUGCUUACCUGCCCUCAAUAAGCAAGGGACUUUUGUCCCCAAAGUGGGGGGGGGGGAGGAUGACCAUAAUGUUAUAUCUAGCUAUAGGACAGCCGGAUGGCUCAGAGAACAAUGUUCUGGGCCCGAAAUCUGGAAAUCUUCAGUUUAACUCCAACCUCAGACACUUACUGGAUCUGUGAUUCUAUCCCUGUAGAAACUCAGAAUCGAAAUCCCUCCACUGAUUUGGCUGCCACAUGGAGAGAUUCAAGGGACUUGCCCACAGGCUCAUAGCUCCUAUAAACUGUCAAAGAAUCCUUUGUCCAGAGAAAAGGAGUCAAGAGGAGAAAAAAUUGAAGAAGCCCUGGGCUAGGCGAAGCUGCUCUACUGGAUGGUCUCCAGCGCCCUCCCAGUUUGCAACACUCCAGUUUUGCAUGUGACACUGUCUUUUUAAUUCUGCUAAGCUCCUGGGUAUGGUUUUUUGGUCUUCCCAACUAGGCCAGGAGCUUCUUCCCCCCACCCUAGGGUCAAGCCUGGCUACCUCCAGACACUGUGAUAGUACCAAGUCGGUCAAUAAACAUGGAUGCAUCAUGUGCCUACUACGGACCGAGCACAAUCUCAUGGGGGGAGCAACAUGCAAACAAAUAAAUAUUACAAAGCAAACCAGGAAUAGG
rnacentral:lncRNA from 1 species